AUUGAACGCUGGCGGCAGGCCUAACACAUGCAAGUCGAGCGGCAGCGGAAAGUAGCUUGCUACUUUGCCGGCGAGCGGCGGACGGGUGAGUAAUGUCUGGGAAACUGCCUGAUGGAGGGGGAUAACUACUGGAAACGGUAGCUAAUACCGCAUAACGUCGCAAGACCAAAGAGGGGGACCUUCGGGCCUCUUGCCAUCAGAUGUGCCCAGAUGGGAUUAGCUAGUAGGUGGGGUAAUGGCUCACCUAGGCGACGAUCCCUAGCUGGUCUGAGAGGAUGACCAGCCACACUGGAACUGAGACACGGUCCAGACUCAUACGGGAGGCAGCAGUGGGGAGUAUUGCACAAUGGGCGCAAGCCUGAUGCAGCCAUGCCGCGUGUAUGAAGAAGGCCUUCGGGUUGUAAAGUACUUUCAGCGGGGAGGAAGGUGCUGAGGUUAAUAACCUCAGCAAUUGACGUUACCCGCAGAAGAAGCACCGGCUAACUCCGUGCCAGCCGCCGCGGUAACAC
rnacentral:rRNA from 1 species